rnacentral:SRP_RNA from 1 species
GGAGUAAGUCUUAUUCGACCAGCUCCUGCAAACUCCCCCAGGAUCGGAAGGUAGCAAGGGUAAGCGGUUGUAGCGGUGCGUUUUAAGGAGCUUGCUC